rnacentral:lncRNA from 1 species
CUAUAACCCAGUGUAUCCAUCAGUGUUCUAGCCCAGUAACCCCUAAGAUAUAAAACCAGGAUGGGCUGCUUUUUGGGGUCCCUCAGCUGCAGUGUAAGUGGGGCAUGGGCAGACAGCAGUCCCUCCACCCCAGGCAUCUUUCCUGAGCCUCGGGGACCUGCUCAUUCUGGAUCCUAGACAUCUGUUGUCCCUCGCUGCCUAUCUUACCGGGAUUUUGUUGGAAGUGAAAAUCCAGACAGCUAAAAAAGCUACAUUUCCC